rnacentral:rRNA from 1 species
AUGCAGUUCGCCACAGGGGCGAUGAGCUCUCUCCUCCCCAAGCUGGGAGAGCUGCUCGUAGAGGAGUACAAGCUGAAGAAGAGUGUGAAGAAGGGGAUCGAAGAACUCAAGGCCGAGCUCGAGAGCAUGCAAGCAGCCCUCAUCAAGGUGUCCAGCGUGCCUCUGGAUCAACUUGACCCGCAGGUCAAGAUUUGGGCCAAUGAGGUCAGGGAGUUGUCCUACGCCAUCGAGGACAGCCUCGACUCAUUCGUGACCCGCGUCGAGCGUAAUGAGCCAACCAAGCCCAAAAUCAAGCACUUGCUCAAGAAGACCCGCAAUGAGUUCAGCAAGUUCAAGGCACGCCAUGAAAUAGCCAAUGACAUCAAAGACAUUCAGAGCCAAGUUAGAAAGAUCAAGGAACGGCGCGACAGUUACAAGAUAGACGAUGUUGAUGCAAAUCCUGCAGCAACUACAGUUGACCCUCGUCUCCCAGCUCUAUACAAAAAGUUGUCUGACCUGGUGGGUAUUGAUAAGCCAAUUAAUGAGCUGAUAAAGAUCCUGUCCGAGGGGGUUCCCAUGCCUGAUAAAAAUCCCAAGAUAGUCUCUAUUGUUGGAUUUGGAGGACUGGGAAAGACAACCCUUGCAAAAGCAUUGUAUGACAAGCUUAGCACAAAAUAUGAAUGUCAAGCUUUUGUUCCAGUGGGUCAGAAUCCAAACACGAAGAAAGUUCUCAGGGACAUCCUGCUUGAACUUGACACUGAGCUAUCCAGAGCCACAGAAACAAUGGCUGAAUGGCAGUUGAUCAACCAGCUGAAGAAAGUCCUUGCAGGCAAGAGGUACUUUAUUGUUAUUGAUGACAUAUGGAAAACACAAACAUGGGAUGUGAUUAAGUGUGCUUUCAUGGAUAGUCAUCAAGAAAGUAGAUUAAUCAUAACUACCCGUAUUGUUGACGUCGCCACAGAAGCUGGUGGUAUCUAUCACAUGCAACCACUUUCUGAUGAUUACUCCAAAAUGUUAUUUUAUACAAGAACAUCUGGUAGUGAAGGACCUGCUGAAGUGACUACCAAAAUUUUAAAGAAAUGUGGUGGUGUGCCAUUAGCUAUCACUACAAUAGCUAGCUUGCUUGUUGGUAAACACACUGAGGACUGGUCUAAGGUGUAUGAUGCCAUUGGUUUUGGGCAUGCAGACAAUGGAGAUGUUCAUAACACAAGAAAGAUAUUAUCUUUUAGCUAUUAUGAUCUGUCGUCCAAUCUUAAGACAUGUUUAUUGUAUCUUAGUGUGUUUCCUGAAGAUUAUUUAAUUGAUAAAAUAUCACUGAUAUGGAGGUGGGUUGCCGAAGGAUUUAUACCAUAUGGAGAAGGGAUGGAACCAUUUGAACUUGGAGAGAUCUAUUUCAACAAGCUUGUAAACAAGAGCAUGAUACGGUGGAUAGAUCCUGCAGAUAAUGGUGGCCGAGAUGGUUGCCGUGUCCAUGACAUGGUUCUCGAUCUCAUCCGCACCAUAUCAAAUGAUGUAAAUUUUGUUACAAUACAUGAUAUGGAGCAGCAUGGCACAUGUUCACGAGGAGAACGAACCAACUGGGUUCGCAGAUUAGCAGUUCAUGGAAGUGGGGAACACAACUCUGGCAUUGCAAUGGAGCAUGUAAGGUCAUAUAAUGUUGUAGACUGCCGUGCCAAUAGUAUGACCCUGCUUUUGAGCCUUAAAGUACUGCGUGUGCUAGUUAUUGAGGAUUGUGUUCUUUCGGAAGGUAGUAGUCUUGAGCAUCUUGGUAAGUUGGUGCAGCUGAGGUACCUGGGGCUAGUGAAGACAGCGGUCAAGAUCCCUGAAGGAAUAGGACAUGAUCUGAAGUUUCUUGAGAUAUUGGAUGUAAGGGGAGGUUUGAUAAGUGAGCUGCCGCCAUCUGUUGGUGAGCUAAUGAAUUUGAGGUGCUUGUGGGCUGAUGAAGGUACAAUGAUGAAGGGUGAGAUAGGGAAACUGACAUGCCUUGAAGAGCUGCAGCUAUAUUCGGUGGACAAGUGCCCAAACUUCUUCACAAUGGUGGGGAAGCUGACAGAGUUAAGGGUGCUUAACAUCUUUUUCGGUGAAAUGGAGGAGUCUGCAGGCAAGGCUCUGAUGGUAUCUCUGUGCAACCUUCACAAGAUCCAUAGUCUGAGGGUCUGGGAUGAUGGUGGUGAGGCUAAGUAUUCGGUUGUCGUCAAUCAUUGUUUGGAAGACUUGGCACCCUGUACAAAGCUGUACGAGUUAGGUCUGCCUAUCAUAGUUAUACCGAGGGUGCCAUCAUGGAUCAAUCAGUUAAGUGUUCCACUCCUUUCUCUUCUAUAUCUGCAUGUGGAUGCGGUAGAAGUUCGGGACGUUGAAACCAUCGGCAGGUUGCCGUCCCUCCUCGACCUUGUUCUCUGGAGUAAGGAUGAAAAGAACAUAUCAUAUACUUUUGGCGGCAAUGAGUUUCACAAGCUGAGAGUCCUGUACACGAAGAAGAUAGAGAUUGCUGUUGGAGAAGGAGCAUUGCCGAUGCUUGAAGAGCUGAGAUACAGUGCAAGCGCUGAAAGAAAGGACGCUGCCAGCUUGGUGCCGUGGAGGAGAAAUAGCUGCCCUUUGCUGGAGGACGUCAGGUGUUACCUUGACUGCACUAACAGCAGCUACAGGGAAGUAAAGGAAGCGAAGCAAGCGCUGAGGCAGGCUUCCGGCACCCGUCCCAAUGCUGUGUAUCUCGACCUCGACAUAGUAAAAGAGAACUGGGACAAGAAGGCUGGUAAACUCAUUGAUAAUCUCGAGUGGACCCUAGGUGGUUUGGACAGACCCGAGGAUGUGGGUCGUCCUGCUGCACACCAGGAAGAAAGGACACGUCGCAUGAUUAGAUCACUCGAGAGAAGGUUACGUGACGCCGCGGAGCCUCCUCGGGUGGGGAGGUACGGCGAACAAGAGAUACGAAGCCUUGUUACCAAAUUCAAGAGUUGGCUACAUGAUCAUGCACGCACCGACCAGGAUGAGGCGGGCAAGAGUGAUGACGAUGAAGAUUAUUAUUACGAUGACAACGAAGACGACGGUACCGACCAAGACGACGACGACGAUGACGAUGACGGUAGACGAUGGUGA